UACAGAGGUGGCAAGCGUUGUUCGGAAUUACUGGGCGUAAAGGGCGCGUAGGUGGCCUACUAAGUCAGACGUGAAAUCCCUCAGCUUAACUGGGGAACUGCGUCUGAGACUGGUGGGCUUGAGUGCAGGAGAGGAACGCGGAAUUCCAGGUGUAGCGGUGAAAUGCGUAGAUAUCUGGAGGAACACCGGUGGCGAAGGCGGCGUUCUGGACUGCAACUGACACUGAGGAACGAAAGCCAGGGGAGCAAACGGG
rnacentral:rRNA from 1 species